UACGGAGGGUGCAAGCGUUACUCGGAAUCACUGGGCGUAAAGGACGCGUAGGCGGGUUGUCAAGUCAGGUGUGAAAUCCUACAGCUUAACUGUAGAACUGCACUUGAAACUGGCAGCCUAGAGUAUGGGAGGGGGAGAUGGAAUUAGUGGUGUAGGGGUAAAAUCCGUAGAUAUCACUAGGAAUACCGAAAGCGAAGGCGAUCUCCUGGAACAUAACUGACGCUAAGGCG
rnacentral:rRNA from 1 species